rnacentral:rRNA from 1 species
AGUGAACGCUGGCGGUAGGCCUAACACAUGCAAGUCGAACGGCAGCACAGUAAGAGCUUGCUCUUACGGGUGGCGAGUGGCGGACGGGUGAGGAAUACAUCGGAAUCUACUUUUUCGUGGGGGAUAACGUAGGGAAACUUACGCUAAUACCGCAUACGACCUACGGGUGAAAGCAGGGGAUCUUCGGACCUUGCGCGAAUGAAUGAGCCGAUGUCGGAUUAGCUAGUUGGCGGGGUAAAGGCCCACCAAGGCGACGAUCCGUAGCUGGUCUGAGAGGAUGAUCAGCCACACUGGAGCUGAGACACGGUCCAGACUCCUACGGGAGGCAGCAGUGGGGAAUAUUGGACAAUGGGCGCAAGCCUGAUCCAGCCAUACCGCGUGGGUGAAGAAGGCCUUCGGGUUGUAAAGCCCUUUUGUUGGGAAAGAAAAGCAGCAGGUUAAUACCCCGCUGUUCUGACGGUACCCAAAGAAUAAGCACCGGCUAACUUCGU